AGAUGAUUUUAGUGCUUGCACUAAAUGAAACUAGAUACAAGCGAGCGGCGGACGGGUGAGUAACACGUGGGUAACCUGCCCAAGAGACUGGGAUAACACCUGGAAACAGAUGCUAAUACCGGAUAACAACACUAGACGCAUGUCUAGAGUUUGAAAGAUGGUUCUGCUAUCACUCUUGGAUGGACCUGCGGUGCAUUAGCUAGUUGGUAAGGUAACGGCUUACCAAGGCAAUGAUGCAUAGCCGAGUUGAGAGACUGAUCGGCCACAUUGGGACUGAGACACGGCCCAAACUCCUACGGGAGGCAGCAGUAGGGAAUCUUCCACAAUGGACGAAAGUCUGAUGGAGCAACGCCGCGUGAGUGAAGAAGGGUUUCGGCUCGUAAAGCUCUGUUGGUAGUGAAGAAAGAUAGAGGUAGUAACUGGCCUUUAUUUGACGGUAAUUACUUAGAAAGUCACGGCUAACUACGUGCCAGCAGCCGCGGUAAUACGUAGGUGGCAAGCGUUGUCCGGAUUUAUUGGGCGUAAAGCGAGUGCAGGCGGUUCAAUAAGUCUGAUGUGAAAGCCUUCGGCUCAACCGGAGAAUUGCAUCAGAAACUGUUGAACUUGAGUGCAGAAGAGGAGAGUGGAACUCCAUGUGUAGCGGUGGAAUGCGUAGAUAUAUGGAAGAACACCAGUGGCGAAGGCGGCUCUCUGGUCUGCAACUGACGCU
rnacentral:rRNA from 1 species